rnacentral:misc_RNA from 1 species
GUAGGUGAACCUGCGGAAGGAUCAUUACUCAUUUUGUAUUGCGCUCCUGUGCUUGCACUCGACCACAAUAUAAAAGAAAACUCUUUUUCACCAAACCGCGCUCUUUUUCUUUUUUCACCCCAUCCUUUACAACUUUAUAUUUAUUUUCGACUGAAACCUUUGGCUUACUUUUAAUUUAAGUUUGUCCAUCUAAAUACUUGUCUCUCGCAAGCGUCCAUUUAUUUGGGCCUUUGCAGCGUCAGUAUUUUUCCAUAACAAGAAUUCAAAAACAAUUCUUACCAAUGGAUAUCUAGGCUCUC